GCGGCGUGCUUAACACAUGCAAGUCGAGCGAUCCUUUUUCCUUCGGGAAAUGGAUUAGCGGCGGACGGGUGAGUAACACGUGGGUAACCUGCCUCAUAGAGUGGAAUAGCCUUCCGAAAGGAAGAUUAAUACCGCAUAAUGUUGAAAGAUGGCAUCAUCAUUUAACCAAAGGAGCAAUCCGCUAUGAGAUGGACCCGCGGCGCAUUAGCUAGUUGGUGGGGUAACGGCCUACCAAGGCGACGAUGCGUAGCCGACCUGAGAGGGUGAUCGGCCACAUUGGGACUGAGACACGGCCCAGACUCCUACGGGAGGCAGCAGUGGGGAAUAUUGCACAAUGGGGGGAACCCUGAUGCAGCAACGCCGCGUGAGUGAUGAAGGUUUUCGGAUCGUAAAGCUCUGUCUUUGGGGAAGAUAAUGACGGUACCCAAGGAGGAAGCCACGGCUAACUACGUGCCAGCAGCCGCGGUAAUACGUAGGUGGCGAGCGUUAUCCGGAUUUACUGGGCGUAAAGGGAGCGUAGGCGGAUGAUUAAGUGGGAUGUGAAAUACCCGGGCUCAACUUGGGUGCUGCAUUCCAAACUGGUUAUCUAGAGUGCAGGAGAGGAGAGUGGAAUUCCUAGUGUAGCGGUGAAAUGCGUAGA
rnacentral:rRNA from 1 species